AUUCUACUUCCGAAUUUUGGCCCAAUUGUCGAAAAGGUUGGCCACCCUUGCUUUAACAUUCAUAAUUUACACU